AUUGUGUCGUCUGCUUUCUUUGUUUCAGUUUCGAAAAAACCAAAAGACGAAGUUUCAGAUAUUUUUGUUCGUAGAAUAAAACUGAACGGAUCACUGAUUUGGAAACAUGUAGCUUACUUGGCUACACGUAUGAGAAAUAGCAUCAACAAAAUAAAAUGUGGUCGUCGUGUGAAUUUUCAAUUUGGGUGUCGUGACUGCCUUCCACUCCAUGCUGUUUCUCAGAUUUCAGGUCUGAUCCAGCCAUCGUACUCACAAGAUGUUUGAAUACUGACCUGUCAUCACCAGCAAUCUCAGCAUCAUCAAUUGGAUAAAUAGCUCCUAGUUGAAUUGGGAAAACUCUGUCCUCUCGUGUAGACCCAUGUGAAGGUGUGUGUAUAGUCACGAUGACAUCCUUUUCCUAUCCUGCCUGGCGUCAACUUUACUGAAGAUGAAGCACUUUUGGAUGCCUGGCUGUGGAUUUCCCGGGCUUAAAGGUAGGACACACGUCUUUCUAUUCUUCAUUUUUUUGACUAUUUGGUGGCGUUGGUUAUGAAACGUAAUGAAGUGCGAUUAUUCCUGAGCUAGACGGUUGACU